rnacentral:rRNA from 1 species
UACGGAGGGGGCUAGCGUUGUUCGGAAUUACUGGGCGUAAAGCGCACGUAGGCGGCUUUGUAAGUUAGAGGUGAAAGCCCGGAGCUUAACUCCGGAACUGCCUUUAAGACUGCAUCGCUCGAAUCAUGGAGAGGUCAGUGGAAUUCCGAGUGUAGAGGUGAAAUGCGUAGAUAUUCGGAAGAACACCAGUGGCGAAGGCGACUUACUGGACACAUACUGACGCUGAGGUGCGAAAGCGUGGGGAGCAAACAGG